rnacentral:rRNA from 1 species
GAUGAACGCUGGCGGCGUGCUUAACACAUGCAAGUCGAACGAUGAAGCCCAGCUUGCUGGGUGGAUUAGUGGCGAACGGGUGAGUAACACGUGAGUAACCUGCCCUUAACUCUGGGAUAAGCCUGGGAAACUGGGUCUAAUACCGGAUAGGAGCGCCUACCGCAUGGUGGGUGUUGGAAAGAUUUAUCGGUUUUGGAUGGACUCGCGGCCUAUCAGCUUGUUGGUGGGGUAAUGGCUCACCAAGGCGACGACGGGUAGCCGGCCUGAGAGGGUGACCGGCCACACUGGGACUGAGACACGGCCCAGACUCCUACGGGAGGCAGCAGUGGGGAAUAUUGCACAAUGGGCGGAAGCCUGAUGCAGCGACGCCGCGUGAGGGAUGACGGCCUUCGGGUUGUAAACCUCUUUCAGUAGGGAAGAAGCGAAAGUGACGGUACCUGCAGAAGAAGCACCGGCUAACUACGUG